UACGUAGGGUGCAAGCGUUGUCCGGAAUUAUUGGGCGUAAAGAGCUCGUAGGCGGUCUGUCGCGUCUGCUGUGAAAACUCAGGGCUUAACCCUGAGCUUGCAGUGGGUACGGGCAGACUAGAGUGCGGUAGGGGAGACUGGAAUUCCUGGUGUAGCGGUGAAAUGCGCAGAUAUCAGGGAGGGAACACCCGGGUGGCGAAAGGCGGGUCUCUGGGCCGUAAC
rnacentral:rRNA from 1 species